GAUGAACGCUGGCGGCGUGCCUAAUACAUGCAAGUCGAGCGAACAGAUAAGGAGCUUGCUCCUUUGACGUUAGCGGCGGACGGGUGAGUAACACGUGGGUAACCUACCUAUAAGACUGGGAUAACUUCGGGAAACCGGAGCUAAUACCGGAUAACAUUUGGAACCGCAUGGUUCUAAAGUGAAAGAUGGUUUUGCUAUCACUUAUAGAUGGACCCGCGCCGUAUUAGCUAGUUGGUAAGGUAACGGCUUACCAAGGCAACGAUACGUAGCCGACCUGAGAGGGUGAUCGGCCACACUGGAACUGAGACACGGUCCAGACUCCUACGGGAGGCAGUAGUAGGGAAUCUUCCGCAAUGGGCGAAAGCCUGACGGAGCAACGCCGCGUGAGUGAUGAAGGGUUUCGGCUCGUAAAACUCUGUUAUUAGGGAAGAACAAACGUGUAAGUAACUGUGCACGUCUUGACGGUACCUAAUCAGAAAGCCACGGCUAACUACGUG
rnacentral:rRNA from 1 species